AAAUCAAAGCUCUCCCUCCUUAUAGAAGAUGAGGGUGAUGGAAGAGAAACUGAGAAAGAGGCAGUGCUGCUGCUGUGAGCCUGCUCAGACCAGCGAACAGGAAGGACACAGGAACAGAGGUGACACUGUGGGAUUUUGAGGAAAAUUACAGGCACGCUGCACCUCACUCCGUCUGUCCGGGAGGAACAAAUCAACAUCACGAGAAAUUGUGCCGACAUGGAUACAGCAGCAGACAAUCAACUGAAAUGGAAACUGCAGCAUCAGAUACAUCCAUUCAUGGAGGUCCGACCGGACACAUCCGCUCGGAGGUGGCCGAGCUGCUGCCUGACUCAGCCCGCCUGACACAAACUCAGGAGCCCGAUGAAAACUUAAGUACUGAGAUGAGCUCAGCAGGUCAAAGAUGACACGGUUUAAACACAUAGAGAUUAAGGCUAUGAAAAUACAAAAUGAAAUAACGUUUUUUAUUUGCUUUGUUCUGUCGUUUAUCUGUGCAUUUUUUUUUCCAUCU